UACGUAGGCGGCUUUUUAAGUCGGAUGUGAAAUCCCCGAGCUUAACUUGGGAAUUGCAUUCGAUACUGGGAAGCUAGAGUAUGGGAGAGGAUGGUAGAAUUCCAGGUGUAGCGGUGAAAUGCGUAGAGAUCUGGAGGAAUACCGAUGGCGAAGGCAGCCAUCUGGCCUAAUACUGACGCUGAGGUACGAAAGCAUGGGGAGCAAACAGGAUUAGAUACCCUGGUAGUC
rnacentral:rRNA from 1 species